UACCGGAAGUUCGAGCUUCGAGGAGGCCACGCCUGACGCCAUACAGUGAAUUGUGAAAUCAGAAUUCAGAAAUUUAACCUUUUCACAUUCAAAUCGAAAAAAAUGAAUACUUACAAAGAAAUCAGCGAGUGAAUCAUCCCAGCUACAUCAAUGCUCGUUUUACCGAAAAUGGCUACUUGAACUAAAGUUUCUAUGAUAUUGCACAGGAUGUCAACCGUUGGUAAGAUUUGCCACGUUUAUGUUUAUUGCAACUAAUGAAGCCAAGCUUAUUGAGAAAAUAUACUAAUUUUUGUGGCAAUAUGCUGCACUCUGAUCCGCUGUCAAGCCACCUAUUUGAACUAACUGAAGUUGCAAUUUCACUGAGAUGAUUUUAACAAACGUUCUAUGAUUAUGAUAGUUGAAAAGAACCGAUUACUACGAUGGCAUAAUAUGGUAACGUGGAGAGCAAUUUCUAUACUGGUUUCUGAGGAUGUUACAGAAUGAAACCGUUGUUGAAUUUCACCGAGAUGGUUUUGUGACUACGAUGAUGUAAAAUACAGUUCGAAUUGCAAUAGCUCAGGAUGAUGCUCGAGUGCGAUUUUUUUAAUAUUAGUUCUCGGAGAAUAAACCAGGUGCUAAACACUGAGAUAGUUUUGCGAAUAGGAUGAUGAAAAAUCGAGUUCGAAUUGCAGUAUAGCUCUGGGAUGAUGUUCGAGUGAGAUUUUUUCUACUGGUUUUCGGAGGCGACCGUUUCGAAAUAGACUGAAAUAGUUGUUAAAUUUCAUCCAGAUGGUUUUGCGAAUACGACGAUGAAAAAUCGAGUUCGAAUUGCAGUAGCUCAGGAUGAUGUUCGAGAUCGAGUUCAAUUUUUUCUACUGGUUCGUGGAGCAGGUCGAUGAUCAGAUGCCAUAGAAUAAAACAAUUGCUCCGAUUGCACUUGUUCCACAUAACUGUGGAUGAUGUUCGAGUUCAAUUUAUCAACACUUUUCAAAUAUCUAAACGUUGUUUUUACGGAAUAGUGAUAUUGAACUAUGCAGAAUAUAGCCAACGAUUGAAGAUGUCGUGGAAUGAUGGAAAAUAGCUCAUCAUAAAAAAUUUGUUGUUUCGUUUUCAAGGUAACGCAGUAUUGUUGCUCAUCUCAUUUUUGAAGAGCGCAAAUAUCAAUAAUCUGUUAAUAUUGUGCAUUUAAACUGCCCAAGAUAUCCCGAGAUUAGUUUUAUUACCUAUGAUCUAAGUGAACUUAAGUUUUAAGUUUGUCAAUGUGAUCCGUUUUUUCGGCAAUGCUUUAAUAUCCGCAGGAGACUCUUAGAUUUUAAAGCAAUUUUUAUCUCACACGAGCCUUUUAUUAGUCGCCUUGCACCAUUAUGAUACUUUCACUUCAGAUUUUUCAUCGCUAUCGUUUGUUGAAAGUCAACAAACAUGAUGUUAUCUCAAUCUUUAUCCGCAUUCGCGUGAAUUUAGACUCAUAUCCGGCUGUUUCUAAAAAAUCGCAUCGUUUUAUAUGAGUGUUUCGAACUUUUGAAAUAUACGAGAUCAAUUUUUUUCCUGAUCGCUGAGUAGGUACAGCAAAAUCAUUUUCGUUAAAAAUCCGUUUAAAUUUAAAAGUGAAAGUGACAUUCAUGAUAAAACAGGAAAAAAAAGUUCGAAGUGGAUAUGAAAAUGAGAUUUUUAAGGGAAGAAUGAUUAGCGUUUAAAUGUUCCAUUUCCUUCUAGAUGAUAAUAUUGUGUUUGGGGGCAAUUUUUUGUUGUUGGAUGUGAUUUUGGUUGAGCUCCGAGUGAAUUUGGAAUUCCCAAUCGUCCGAUUUACAGUAAUUCUACUGUUAUUGUCUUAUUGUCGUAGGUUUUUAUAUAUUUACUCAAUAUAAAAGAAUUAGUGUCCAUGUAAAGGAGUUCAGAUAAUUUUGUGGCGUGAAAAAUUAAAAAAGAAUACCCACUAAAUUUUUUAAAUGGUUUUGAUAUUGAUUUUUUAAAUGUUUUUUCAUUACAUUGUAGUGUCAGUGUCAAUUUUGGAUGAAAGAAAUAGUGGUAAAAGAGUUUUGACUUUUGAUCGAGGAAUGGCACUUUUACAAAGCAGAAAAAUGAGUAUAGAAAAAGAUACAAUUAGUUGACAAUUAGUAGGUACCCCCUCCAAUUUUUUAACCUCCUCCCCCCACCCUGUAACACAAUUACAGUAGCCUUUCAUCCCCUCAAUUUUCCCAUUUAUUUUAUUUUUUUCUAAAAGAAAAGAGUGAAGAAUAAUUUAGUUAGGUACAAGACCUUGGUGCAAAGCAACUUUUCAGAAAGUGUGCAUAUGACAUUGCAUGGAUACCCCCAUUGCAAAUUUCCUCUUGGGUUCACCUAAUAAUACUUCAUACAAAAAUUUCAAGUCUUCUUCUUUAAAAAUAUGUUUCAUCCAUAAAGAAGAAAGCAAUAAUAAAUUGAAACAAACACAUUGAAAAAAUUGAUCAGACAAGAUCAUUUUAAAAACCAAUAUGUACUGAGAAGAAAAUCUCAACCACAAUAGAUUAUGUACCUAAUGAAUGAGCAUAUGGAAAUAAAACAGAAUCUUACUUACUUGGCUGGGUUGCAAGUACAUGUUGAUAGUACUGUGCUGAUCUUGCUCAGUGAAGUAUGCUCCACAAGCGGUAUAACACUUCAUCAAGACAGUAGCGUAGCCAAGGGGGGGCGAAGGGGGCCAUGGCCCCCCCUUGCGAGUGAAAAUUUGAAAGAAAACAUGCAAAAAUGGACGUUUUUUCGUUGUUUGGACCCAUUUUUUCUAAAAAUGUUCGCUCUCGCUUCGCUCGAGCAGUAAUUUUACCUUCAUUUUCAUGAAAUCACCACACAUCACAAUGGAUUUCCAGAAAAUUACCCCUGAUUUCGAUUUUUCAUGCCUAAAAAUCUGGUUUUGCCCCCUCCUUGAGAAAAUCCUGGCUACGCCACUGCAUCAAGAGUACUUUAGGGUCUUUUAGGAGAACCAUGGUAUAAUUAUUUCAUCACAACGUAGUUCUCCCGAGUUUCCUGCCAGUGUGGUGAUUUUUAAUUUUAAACCAUGACCUACUGACUUCAGAACCAAAAAAAAAAAAAAAAACAUUCCCUUGCCUUUUCUGUUAAAAUUAUUAUUCUGAGUAUGGAAUAAGAAAUCACUUUGCUUCAGUCAAGGAGGGAUAAAAUUGUACUAAUGGAUCCCAAUCAAUGAAACAAAUCAUCAAUUGACCAUCCUCUGCAACCAGUACUUCCUGAACUGCUUGUAAGGUCACUAUUAGUUUCAACACCUGCUACAACCAAUGGUUUUAUUACUUUCAUUACUAUAUUUUGAGACAUUUUUUUUUUUAGUAGAAAAAGAGAUACAAUAUAAUUAAAAAACUGCGAAACUUUCUAACUCUUAGUGGUUUUUGAAAAAAUACAAUUUAAUGAAAUGUUGAAGGUUGGACUUUUUUUUUUUUUUUUUUUUUAGAAAAAUCCAACAUUUCUUGAAACUGCAUUAGUGCAUUUGUUGAAAAACUAUUCAUUAUUCAAUGUAUCAACAAAUGCAUGCUGACUUGACGCCACCGAAAAAAAUUCAUGAUGGCGCGUGGCCUGCCCACCGCCGCUAACGUUUUUUUGGCAGCAUGAGUUGGCGUUGGGCUCUUUUUUCCUUGAUUUUAGUCACUUUUUUGUAUUUUAUAGAAAAAUUAGAAAUUGAUGUUUUUUGAGGAAGAUUUCUUAUCCUGAAAAAAAUUCACUUUUUAGAGCUCACAUAACAAUAAACCAAGAAAAUUCAGUGUUAAGUCGCGUUUCAUUGGUGUGGUAGGCCAUGCCGGCGCGCUGAUUCACGCUGCUGCCGCCAACCAAUUUUACCCAUUACACCACUGCCACUGUUUGUCCAUCAGCGCAGCCCUCCAGUUGUGGAUCAUCUUGAUGUCCAUAUACUUGAGUAUAAAUAUAUCUACUUUUGAUAAUGUGACCUGCCAGUUGCCACAAAAACUUUCAGGUAGCCUUCAUUUCUUCACACCAUUGUUUUUCUGAGUUUCCUGCCUGCCUGGUUGUUUUCAAACUGUGAUCUGCUGGCUUCAGAACAAAAAACAAAAAAAAAAACAUUCCCUUACCUUUAUAUUUAAGCCUUUAUGAGUUCUACUGUAAUCACUAAGAUCAGGGAUGUCUAGCUAGCCAAUAGCCAUUAGCCAUUAGCUUAUCAAAGUUUUGAAGUUUAGCCAUUAGCCAGCCAAUCAACGAAAACUUUAGCCAUUAGCCAGCUUUAGCCAAUUGAUUUUGGCUAAAAAUGAUUGGCUAAAAUUAAAAUAAACAACGAGUAAAUGGGUUUCCUGUGGGUAAAAAAAUUAAAAUUUGAAAAUUGGUGAAAAAACCAAAAGCAAUGGACCGAAAAAGUUGUUUGGCAUUGGCGGUUCCUCAGUUAUUUUUCUUCAUUUUUUUGUGAUUAAAUUUGUCAUUUUUCCAAUCAAAUUUUUCAAUUUUCAACACAUUCAACAUCCUAUUAAUGUUGUCCAUUUUAUUUUCUAUGUAUGUACUAUGAAUAAUGUUACCUUCAGUUGUCAGGAGAGCACUGUCAGUCACUAGAGUGUCAACCUUAUUAUUGAUCUCAUUAUCCUGUAGUGGCGAGGCAAAAAAAAUACACAUUAAUGAUUUUUUACUAAUAGUCCCAACAUUGAUUACCUGUGUCAUUCUAAAUAUUAUCUCAAUUCCUAAAUCUGUUUCAUUCCAUGUCUGGAGUAGGCUGAAAAUGUGUACCUCUAUGUUUUUUUCAUAUCUAGAUGAAGCCAAAUAUUGUGCUUUUAAGUACAUGGCAAAUGAUCUGCCAUCCUAUUGCUAUCAUUACAAUUAUAAAUUUGUUGUCAACAGUGUGGUUAUAAUGUGUACCUACCAGAGCUCAAACCGGUCCGAAUACCAAAUAUACCUGGUCCCAGGUCAGGCAAAACCAGGACCAAGUACUACCGGGUAUUUGCUUUAACCAAAUACAAUACCGUACUCUUAUUUGGUUUGAUUUAGUGGUUUGAACAUGAGAUCUGUUUCACGAAAAAAUUAACUUCUCCUAUUGUCUUUUUCAUCGGUUGCAUUGGAAUUUGUAUGAUUAUUUGUACCUUGUGGGCAAAAAAACAUGAUUAUGUUACAUACAACUAAAUAUUUAGAUAUACCACUUGAAAUGAUAAUUUUUUCUUACCUCUAUUCAUAAGCCGUUUCAGGAAAAUCACAAGAAUAGUGUUGGGCAAAUUCGCGAAUAUUCUUUUUUUGCUUGCGCAUGCGCAAGAAUAUGCGCGUAUUCUUGCGCAUAUUCCGCAGAUUCUUUUCAAAAAAUUAGAAAAUUAUUGCUUAGUUUAGAGAUAAUAGGGAAAAGGUUUUGGUAACUUUCAAAUUAUUAAGGAAAAUUGGAAAUUUAUAAAGAAAAGUAGUUGUAAAACUUGUAAAUUGUGGAAAAUUGUAAAAAAAUCUUUAAAUUUUUUGAAAAAAGUCUCGAUUUUUAUUUUUUUGAGAGAAUAUUCUCCAAGCGUUUGAGAAUAUUCGCGAAUAUUCGCGAAUAUUCUCAGAUUAUGCGCAUUGAGAAUAUUCUCAGGCCAACACUACACAAGAAUGAAUACAAUAGCUGUAUCCACCAUUUUGCUUUUAUGACUAAUAUCAUUAUCAGUGCUUCUAAUUCCUUCAUACACCGUUAUGAAGUUGGAAGCGUUGGAAAACACUUCCUCUAUACUUGAAAUGAACGUCAAUAUGGUUUGAAAAUCCAUCUUGGGUUGGAAAAUUAAAGCUUCACAUGGUGAAUUAUUAAAAAUUAAUAAUUUUACAAGUCACAAUUAAAUAUACAUGAAAAAGGCGACCACACAGUUUGGAUGUAUUGCUUGGUUCGUUCUAAAAGUCGCGAAAAAGCUCUAAAUUCGAAUUAAAUGCAUAUUAACUUUCAAAACUUUAUUAAAAACUACAUAAAAACCAUUGCUAAACAGUACAUAAACUGUAUGAUGAAAUUCUAGGAUCGUAACCGAAAUCUAACGGUUUAUUCAACACAGGUUAGGCAAAUAUUCGAUACAAAAAUACUUAAAAAAUACUUCGACUCAGAGUUGCCAAACAACACCUGUUCACAACUCAAGUCGAUUAUAAUUUUAAUUUUGUUUAAAUCCAUUCAAAAACACAAACGAGAACGAAUACGUUCUCAAAUUCUACAAAUAACUGGUUCAGAGAACACAUUAAAACUAUUCUAAUUCAAAAAACGAGUAUAAUAUUGAAAUGUUCUUACAAUUUAUUCUAGAAAAUAUAUUAUGAAUUCCAAAGAAUUCGAGCACCUGAGACAACAAAUCUCAUUAGGUUUAAACAAAUACAAAUAAAACGUCAAUAAAGGGUUAAACAAAACCCAUAUUCGAUGAACUAAAGUCAAUUUUAGCUUUACUGACUACUUUAGUCAGAAAAUCCGCAACGUUCUUAUCAGUAGCUACAUAACACAAUUCAACUGUUUUCUUUUCAACGAUAUCACGUACAUAAUGAUAUUUUAUCGAGAUGUGAUGCAAACGAUCACAAUUUGCCUCUGAACUGGCAAUUUGUACAGCCGAUUGGCUGUCACAGAAAAUCCUACACAAGCCACCUCUCAUACCAAUUUCUUCCAACAAGUUUUUCAGACCAACUACCUCUCUCACACAAUCACACAACGACACAUACUCUGCCUCACAAGACAACAGCGCAACAAUAGACUGCUUACGAGUCUUAUAAUGAACAACAUUUCCAUACACUUUAAUCAAAUAACCUGAAGUAGAUUUAGCAUCACGUUCCUGAGCCCAUGAAGCAUUACAAAAAGCUUCAAUCGGAGCUGCAUUAUUAUCAAACACAUAUCUCAACUUCAAUUUUUUUGUAGAAUUGAGAUAACAAAGUACCCUAGUCAAGUAUCAAUAAAGUUCAUCCGUAGCUUUCAAAGUACAACGACUUAAUAAGUUUGUAGCAAAAUUUACAUCAGGGCGAGUUCUUUACAUAAUGAAAUUUAUCGUACCUAUAAGAGCUUCUGAAAUUUCAGAACACAUAAAUCCUUUGAAUCACUACAACCAUUCAACCUUUCAAUAGGUAUUGAGUUUCCUUUCCAUCGGAGUAUACACUAGCUUAGCAUUGAUAAGAUUAAACUUUUUUCCACUGGCCUCAAUAUAUGAGCUUUGAUCGAUUUCAAUCAACUCUGGAGUUACCUUCAAAUGUACCUAAUCCAAUAAACGAAACCACUUUGUCCAUAAUUUUCACCGUAAAAUGUUCACAAAGUUUCUUAAUCACGAAUUCGACAAUUUCCUCACAAUCACCCGCAACAAAGAAGUCAUCCACGUAUGUUAGAAAAAUAACGAGUCUCUUUCCCUUUUUUUUAAGAUGAACAAACAUCACCCAGACUAAAUUAUUAUCAAGUCUGAAAUUUUUUAAGUGAAGUUUUUGAAGUUGAGGAUCAUAUUGAUGUUCAUUAAGUAUAUACUAUAGGGUGAAUGUGACCUUUACUAGCCAGGUUAACUGAGUAUUGUAAUCACUCCAUGGUUCUCCUGAGUUUUACUACUAUGAAUGAUAGGGGUCAUUACUUCAUCACACCAUAAUCUUCCCAAGUUUCCUACCUAUGUGGAGAUUUCUGAACCAUAACCCACUGACUUAAUGAAUAAAUAAAAAAAAAAACAUCCCCUUACCUAACAGAGCCUACUCUUACCUCUGAAUACUCGCUUUGAUCUUAUAAGUAUGUUUAUUGCGACUACUAAAGACAGCAUUGGAAUUGCAAAGACUGGUGUGCUUCUUUUCAUCUUUUCUUCUUCUUCUUCCACAGCACACUGAAAAAAAAAAAUGAGAUAAAAUUAAAAAUGCAUUAUUUUUAUUCAACAUGGGUUUCAAAAUAGGGCUUCAUAGAGGAGCUCCCUAGUGCUGUAUUAAUAUUAAUUAUCUUACCAGAAAAAAAUUUCAUGAAGACCUUGAUAAAUAGCUACCGCGGCUAAAAUAGGGGCAGCCACCACCGGGGUGCCACCUAUUAUUGAAAGUAUGGUACUCAAGCUGCCCAAUCGAUGAAUUAAUUCAUCGAUUGGGCAGCUCGUAUACCCUAUGGAGCUGGAUCGGGAAUUUGAAUUGUCGCUGCGGCCAUCACCCGGAUCAUUGUUAAUUGUAACAUGAUCAUCGUUGUUACCUUCAAUUAUUAAAGGAAUCAUUAAUUCAACUUCACUCGCGCUUAUGUCAGACAUAUUAUUACUAUCAAAAUGUUCAAGAAUUAAAAUUUUGUAAUAGAUUAACUCCUUUGUUGAUCUUACAAAAAUCUAAAAGUCUUCUUUCGUUACCUAUGGAGAAUCCGCGUUAAAACGAACACAGCUAGAAUCAUCAAAGUUGUCCGUAAUCAACUGUAAUCUGUAAUAAAAGUUACGGUCUGCUACGGAAAAGUAAAAUACAAGAAUUGUUAUGGUAUAGUUCACGUUGUCCGUAACCAUAACUUUUUUUUUUACGGAAAAGAACAAUGGUAUUUUAUCCUACUAGUAAAAUAAAGUGAUUUUUGACGAUUUUUGAGUUUUAUUUCCCGAGCAGAGCGUUCGCACCUCGUGAGGACUCAUUCAAUUGCUCACAAACUGUACCAUUCAGUAUCUCAUAAAUUUUCCCAAGCUUGGAAAAUUAAGCAGUUGUACUUUUGCAAUUUUUAAAUGAAAUACAAAAAAGGGUCAUUUUAAAAGGGAUUAUUUAUAAUUUUCAAUCAGAAUUUUACAAACUUGAGAAAAUAUGGGAUCAUUUCUAUUCAUAUUCUCUGGAAUGGGAAAAUUAUACUGUCGUUUUUAUUUUUAUUUUUUUCAAUAACGAAGAGUAUGAUUAAACAAAAUUUUCAUCAGAGAUAGGUACCUAAUUACCAUAUUUUCACUCAAAUUUCCCAACUCUGAAAAAUAUGGUACCUCUACCUACCUACAAUUUCUAUUUUUCAGUCAUGAGAGGCCAUUAUAAAUAAGAGACAGUUCAUUUUUACUGAAAUGUCCCGAGCAUGGAAAAUUUAACAAUAUUGUAUUACAUAUUUGUAAAGUGGCCAUUUUUAGAUGGUCCCUGUUUAACCCAAAAUUAUACUACAUAUUUUCACUUGAAAUUUGCGUCAUUUAAUUCGUUGGAAUUUUUUUUUAGUCAGAAUGUCAGAAAAUGGUCAUUUUAAAUUUUACUAUUUGUCAGGGGAAUAAGCCUGGUGAAAUUAUAAAGUGCAAUAAAAAUCUGACGUUUCCGUUUCUGGGGUUAUUUUUAUUUUAUCUCAAACUAAACUCAAUUUUUUCCCAUCAAAAUUACUGUUUUUCGAGUUCCUAUCACACUGUAAAGACGAAUAGUAGGACUUUAUAGCUAUAUGCGUUCUUCAUUGUCAAUAGAGCGCCAUCUAACACUAGCGUAAGGUACUUGAAAAAAUCAGAUACCUGUGAGCUAAUUUGCAUAUUUUUGUCAUUAGUCUCAUAUAGGGCGAAAAAACGUCUCAAAUCGCAAAUAUAGGCAAAAAAAAAGUGCCUCAGUGAGGCAAAAUGUUAGCUCGGGAUACCCCUUAGCAGUUUCACACCUAUCAAGUUGGUCAUUGUGAAAAUUUAAUUUGUCCCUUUUUGAUAUAAGGCCUUCCUUUCUUGAAACAUUUUUAUACUCAUUUCUCAAUUCCAAGUUGCCUGGAAACUUACAUAUCAGCUGGUAAAGCUCACUUUUUGUCUUAGAAAUUCUAAUCAAUUCGUCAGAGGCCCAGAGAUUUCUCUUCAAUGAUCUUUUAUAAUCAUUCAAUCUUGUUGCCAUUUUCACACAGGAACUAAUUCUCUUAACAAAAAUUUUAAAACCAAUCUCAGGGUUCUGUGUGUUGGACAACUCCGACCAAUCCACUCUCACCAAUUCCCUCCUGAGAAGUUUCUUAUCAAUCUCAAUUCUCAACUCUUAUCUUGUUCCAUGUAUGAAGGAUGAGGCCAAAUACUGUACUCCAGUUUAUGGCAAAAGAUUUGCCAUCCAAUCCUCACAAUUAUGAUUGAUAUUGUAGCCAGGGAUGUGGUUACACCAAACUCUGACAACAUUGUUAACACAUCCUUAAUCUUUCCAAUUUUUGUAUUUUCUACAAAAUUCUCAAUGUAAGUAUGAACGUUUUACUGCUAUGAAUGAUAUGACCUACCAGUUUCCAUAAAAGCUUUCAGGGCAUCAUUAUUUCAUUACACCAUAAUUCCCCGGCCUAUGCCCUAAUGACUUCUGAUUCAGAACAAAAAAAUGAAAACAUAAAAAAAAAAUAUUCCCUUACCUAACAAUUAUUAUAUUUGAAGGGCGGUUUUCCAAAAAGCGAUAAGUCAAAAAUUGUGAUUUCGAGAUAAAUGAUGUUUUUAGUGCCCAUUUCAAGGCGCGAUGCACUUGGAGUAUGACACCUAUCCUGCAUGUUGUAUUGGUUCUAUCUCAACACGUAUGUGUUGGUUUUGUGGUGUAACUCAAGUUUGCAGCGCUUCUGCGGCAGAAAAAGUAAACUGACUUAUCGCCUUUUGGAAAAACGAUUUUUCAUGUGUUCAUUUAUAUGAUAGAACCAGUGUUGCAAAUUGAUGUAAGUCAACUCUAAUUCACAAUACAAAAGUAUAUGACCAAAAAAAUUGAUUACAAAAAAUUUUACCUGUGUUUUAAUCAAAAAUUAAGUACCUAUUACAACACUAUAAAUUGAAAAAAAAAGAUUUUUGAUUAAAAAAAAAAAUCUUACCACUAUUUCGGCAAUAAAUUUACGAAAAAAAAUUGUUGAUUGAAAAAAAAAAUUUUUAACUGCAUUUUGGCAAUAGAAUUGGCAAAAAUCAAGUAUUUAUCUACAGCACUAUCAUUUUAAAAAAAAUUAUCUGCAUUUUGGCAAUAAAAUAAAAACGAAAAUAUAGUACAUAUUACAGUACUAUCUAUUAAAAAAACCAUAUUCGCAGCUCUAUUUUGGCUAUACAAGUAACGAAAACGAAGUAAUCAUGACUUAUCGCGUUUUGGAAAAAUGAUUGCAAUCCGCAACUUACAGAAAAGCUGGAUUGUACGUAGGUAAAUAGGUAUUUUGGGUAGGUUAGGCAUUAAAUAGGUGAGAUACGACCUAUAGAACACAAUGGCGUGAAAAACUCAAUUUUCAAAAAACUUGACUUAUCCACUUUUGGAAAACCGCCCUUCAUUUCUUCUAAGUAUGUGAACUGCUAUAACAGUAGUUAGUAUUGGAAUCGCAAAGACAGGUGUGCUUCCAUACGUGGCUAGCACAGUGGCCAAACUUCCAAGUCUAUUGAUAAGAUCGUCAAUUCCUCUAGUCGCACAUCUGCUGGACCUGGAAGACCUGGAAGGUUGACCACGGUCCAGACUACAGUGACUGCUGUCACUGCUGCACCUGUCACCACUGUUGUGUAGAAGAAGACAAUGAACCAUUUCUUAUACUUACACAUUAUAAAUAAACUGUACAUUAUUAACAAAAUUAUUUAACUAUUAUUCAAAUUUCAAAGUCAAUGGAGAAGGACAAUCAAAGUUGAAAUUUAAUUUAAAUUUAUCUAUUUCAGAUUUCUCUAUGACACCAUUUUUUAGUCUAGUACUAGAGUCUAGCCCCUGAAAAGCUCCUCGGCAUCUUUGUCUUAUCAGUUGAUUUUCCUUCAUCUAUUUUGAUGUCAUGCCCAUAAAGGUGGGCUUAUUGUCUGUAACAGACUGUAACUUAGGCUCGUUGAUAUUGGUCGCAGAACAAGACUGUAAACUUCCUGUGGAAAAUCAAAGCUGGAGUUGUAACUCAGUCUUUCAUGAUGACUACAGACACCAUUCCAUAGUUUCUUACAGAUUUUCAAUUAUAUUAUUUUUGAAAAUUCGGUAAUUUGAUGGAACGGAUCCAUAGUUGUUCUGCGGCCAAUGUAAACAAGCCUUAAACAAAAAAUCUGGCAAUCACAAAAGUAUACUUACAUUAAUUAUUUAAUAAUAAUGACAGUUGACUUAUCUUUCCUUUUGUAUUUUCUACAAAAUUCUCAAUGUAAGUACAUUUUACUACUAUGAAUGAUAUGACCUACCAGUUUCCAUAAAAACUUUCAGGUCAUCAUUAUUUCAUCACACCAUAAUUCUCCGGACUAUGAGGUGUUUCUGAAUCAUAACCUAAUAAAUUCAGAUUCAGAACCAAAAAAAAAAAAACAAAAAAACAAAAUAAUCCCUUACCUAACAAAAUUGUUAUUAAAUUUGAACUUAUAGGUAGCAGUAUUGUAGUUUUUAGUAAACAUUUUCAGAAACGGGGGCCGGAUUGAUAUGAAAAUUUUCCGAGAUAGGGACUGAAUCAGACGUAGAGGAAUUUGGAUAAAAAUCAAUAAUUGGGGGAGGAGGUACACUCGGAUCAAAUGUAGGAAGAAGAUAUCGGUCUAGAUCCUGCAAAUAUUCAGCAUCCUGUAAAAACAAACAAUAUUAGACAUCUUUGUACAAGUUCAAUCAAUCAACCAUUAAAUCAAUAUUUUGUAUAUGUAUUUCAAAAAAAUGUUCAAAAGUAAAAAUUUCAAAAAAAAUCUUACCAGCUCAAGGGCAAAACUUUCUGGCAGGUUUGAAAACAGAUCGGCGAUUUCCGACUCGAUUGGAUCUAAACAAACGAAAUUAAAAUCAUUGAUACAUCGAAAUGAAAAAUUAUUUAUUUUGCCAGGGGGAGGGGGGGGGGAAAUACUGAACAAACUCGAAAGUAAAAACAAACAUUUCAAAUUUCAUCAAUUUGAGAACAAAAAAAUCGAUCCGAAAAACAACGUUCAACCAAUCAAAAUAGGUUAAAAAUUCAUGAGAAAUUCAAAUAUCUCGACGAAAACAAAUUUUGAUCAUUUUUU